rnacentral:lncRNA from 1 species
UAGAAGUCAGGUCGGAUUAAGCCAUAGUACGGAAAAAACUAUGCUACCUGUGAGCCCCGUCCAAGGACGUUAAAAGAAGUCAGGCCACUACAAGUGCCAUAACUUGAGCAAACUAUGCAGCCUGUAGCUCCACCUGGGAAGGUGUAAAAAAUCUGGGAGGCCACAAACCAUGGAAGCUGUACGCAUGGCGUAGUGGACUAGCGGUUAGAGGAGACCCCUCCCUUGCAAGUCGCAGCAACAAUGGGGGCCCAAGGUGAGAUGAAGCUGUAAUCUCACUGGAAGGACUAGAGGUUAGAGGAGACCCCCCCGAAAUGAAAAACAGCAUAUUGACGC